rnacentral:rRNA from 1 species
GAUGAACGCUGGCGGCGUGCUUAACACAUGCAAGUCGAGCGGGCAAUUUAUCUAGCACUGAUUACUUCAAAUGGAAAUCAUAAGUGUAAUCAUGAAUUUCUACCUUUAAUAAAGAAAAAAGAAAUUCAUGUACGCAAAUAGUGAUAACACAUUUUAGUGGAGUGAUGAGUGCUGGAUAAAUUGCUAGCGGCGGACGGGUGCGUAACACGUGGGUAACCUGCCCCUAUCACUGGGAUAACACACUGAAAAGUGUGCUAAUACCAGAUAAUAUAAGCUUUUGGCAUCAUUAGCUUAUCAAAGAAUUUCGGAUAGGGAUGGGCCCGCGUCUGAUUAGCUAGUUGGUGAGGUAACGGCUCACCAAGGCAACGAUCAGUAGCCGACCUGAGAGGGUGAUCGGCCACACUGGAACUGA